rnacentral:rRNA from 1 species
AAAUGGAUGGCGCUGAAGCGUCGCGCCUAUACUCCGCCGUCAGCGGCAAGUGGGAAGGCACGCGAGUCACAUCCGUCCUUCAUGAAGCUCUGACGAGUAGGAGGGUCGCGGCGGUGUGCGCAGAAGGGUCUGGGCGUGAGCCUGCCUGGAGCCGCCGUCGGUGCAGAUCUUGGUGGUAGUAGCAAAUACUCCAGCGAGGCCCUGGAGGACUGACGUGGAGAAGGGUUUCGUGUGAACAGCCGUUGCACACGAGUCAGUCGAUCCUAAGCCCUAAGAGAAAUCCUAUGCAG